rnacentral:rRNA from 1 species
AUUAUACGGCGAAACUGCGAAUGGCUCAUUAAAUCAGUUAUCGUUUAUUUGAUAGUACCUUACUACUUGGAUAACCGUGGUAAUUCUAGAGCUAAUACAUGCUUAAAAUCCCGACUCACGAAGGGAUGUAUUUAUUAGAUUAAAAACCAAUGCCCUUCGGGGCUCUUUGGUGAUUCAUAAUAACUUUUCGAAUCGCAUGGCCUUGCGCCGGCGAUGGUUCAUUCAAAUUUCUGCCCUAUCAACUUUCGAUGGCAGGGUCUUGGCCUGCCAUGGUGACAACGGGUAACGGAGGGUUAGGGCUCGACCCCGGAGAAGGAGCCUGAGAAACGGCUACUACAUCCAAGGAAGGCAGCAGGCGCGCAAAUUACCCAAUCCCGACUCGGGGAGGUAGUGACAAUAAAUACUGAUACAGGGCUCUUUUGGGUCUUGUAAUUGGAAUGAGUACAAUUUAAAUCCCUUAACGAGGAACAAUUGGAGGGCAAGUCUGGUGCCAGCAGCCGCGGUAAUUCCAGCUCCAAUAGCGUAUAUUAAAGUUGUUGCAGUUAAAAAGCUCGUAGUUGAACCUUGGGCCUGGCUGGCCGGUCCGCCUCACCGCGUGCACUGGUUCGGCCGGGCCUUUCCCUCUGGGGAACCGCAUGCCCUUCACUGGGUGUGUCGGGGAACCAGGACUUUUACUGUGAAAAAAUUAGAGUGUUCAAAGCAGGCCUAUGCUCGAAUACAUUAGCAUGGAAUAAUAGAAUAGGACGUGUGGUUCUAUUUUGUUGGUUUCUAGGACCGCCGUAAUGAUUAAUAGGGACAGUCGGGGGCGUCAGUAUUCAAUUGUCAGAGGUGAAAUUCUUGGAUUUAUUGAAGACUAACUACUGCGAAAGCAUUCGCCAAGGAUGUUUUCAUUAAUCAGGAACGAAAGUUAGGGGAUCGAAGACGAUCAGAUACCGUCGUAGUCUUAACCAUAAACUAUGCCGACUAGGGAUCGGGCGAUGUUAUUAUUUGACUCGCUCGGCACCUUACGAGAAAUCAAAGUCUUUGGGUUCUGGGGGG